rnacentral:lncRNA from 1 species
CAACUUUUAUUUACUUUGUGUGUCAUAAUCUCCAACCUUUUGAAAUAUUCUUCGAUCGUGUAAUUGUUGAUUGUAUACCCUAGACUUAGCAGGGAAAGAUAACUCUAAUCAUUCGAAGCACAAUUUGUGUUACAAUGCACAACAGGAAAAUAAUAUAUGACUCAUAGAUACUGAACCAACGGUACUAACGACCAUGAGAAUAUACCUCAUAUGUAACUACACUGCUGGAGCUAGCAUACUAAUGAAGGGUUGGUGUGGAGACAGCGCCUAAUGCUGACAUUAUGCACAAAAUCCCUUGGGCCCUGUUGUGAUAACAACAUUAUUGUGGCUGCAACAUCCUGCAAAAUUAUAAUAGGACAUAUUCAGGCUACAACUGUAAUUGUGGAAGCUUGUAAUAUUGGUAAAAGCAUUCUCAUUCACGGUUCCAAUAUAUGGGAUAAUGUCAUAAUUGAAGAUGUGUGCAUAGGGACUAAUUCCUUAUAUUGUAGUCAUAUUCAUGUGUUGAGCCUGGCUACAGAAUGCAGAUAUAUCAAUAUUUUUCGUCUUGAUGAAACACAGAAUGGGUAGAAGGCUACAAUAUGUUGGACAUAACUGAAUUAACUUUGCAUUGCAAUAUAUCUAAUUUAGUAUUUGUACAAACUGUUAAAGCGUACAAGAAGAGCUAAGCACGAAAACAAAUGCAUGUCGACCAAAUAAGGACAUUAAAUAGUAGAUAUGUUAACCAAGGUAUUAUUUUUUAGUGAGAAAGAAGUGGACAAAAGAUUUCAUUAUUAUUUUACUGUUACCACUUUAAUAGUACAUAUAUGUUAGUUUGUAUGGAAUCAAUAAUAAUUUCUGAUUUAAUUCUUUAGAAAGUUCUGAUUUGUGAAAACUUUUCUAAUUUAUUAAUAGAUGUGCAAUUGAUGGAAAAAGGAAAGAGAUGUGCACCAUACAACAAAAUAUUGUAGAAUUAGAAUAAGUGAGGAUCUGCUAUCGAGUUGUUCUAAUAUAUUCACUAUAAGCAUGUGAACCGUAUAACAAAAUAUUGUAAAAUUGGAAUAUUGUAGAAUUGGAAUGAGCUAUGGUAAAACUUCACAAUACCUAAUAUAUUUACUAUAAGCAUGUGAACGGUAUUGCCAGUCCUAACAAAGAAGCUCAUUACCAAACUCAUCUUUUUGUCGUAACUCAUCUACUUAGGAUAUUGACACCAUGAACUCUGAACAUGUUAAACAUUCUGAAGCCAAUAUGGUAAGGAAUGCAUGGUUUGUAUAUAUGUGUGCUACAAAACCAACUAAUGAAAACUAUAGCAAAAAUUGCCUACCCUUUCAUUUUAGCAUGUUAUAGUGACAGGGAUUGCACAUCACUAUGAACUCUGAAUGUUUUAUUUUUCUGAAGCCAAUAUCGGCAAGAGUGUGCUACAAAUCCAGCUAAUAAUUUUUUUACUGUGCCUAUCAUUUCAUUUUUAGCAUGUUAAAAGGGACAUGGAUGGCACAUCGCUCUGAGAUAGGUAGGCGAGGGGAUUGGGGGAUCGAUGUUCUCACCAGCGAUGGGAGGCUCAGCCGCGACGAAGUCCGACAGGUCGAAUUUGAUUCCCUUGAAGAUGGUGACGAUGGAGGGUGGAAUGGGGCAGGGUUGGGGGUGUGAGACGUAGAUCUGGUGUUGGUGUGGGUUUAGGAGAAGGAGCGGAGGUGGGCGACGCGGUGGGGAUCAACUCUUCUGCCGCCGAGGGAGAGGAAUGGCCUGGCCGCCCCGCCGGGCCACCAGUCCUUGUCCGUGAGAUGCAGCAGUGGCGCGUUGAGGGAUUCCCUGUAGAGGAAGCAGGGCAACGGCGAUGGGUAGUCGACGUGGAAGGGGUGAAGGCGGCCUCGCAGUCGUAGAGCACGGGGCGGAUGUCCGGGAUGUGGGCCCGAAAGCCGUUGGAGAAGCUAUGGCCCUGGUGGUCGACGACAGCCACGCAACUGGACUCGUCGGUGAAGCCACGGUCGACGGCGACGGCACCGAAGACGGGGUCUAGGCACCAAGCGUUGCGUGAGGAUGCGGAGGGGGUGAGAGGGGGCGGCAAUGGGAGGUAACGGCGGAGGCCGGCGACUGCGUGGGUGAUCGCGGAGGCCGUCGGCCGACAGCGAUGCGGGUGAGGGGGAGGAGGAUCAGGGCGACCGCGGGAAGAGCACUUGUGUGCAGUGAUAAAGUUAGGGUUGUGUAGUGUUCUUCUAAUAAGCUAUAGGGAUAACAUUAGGUGAAAUUAUCUAAAAUAAAGUUAGGUAGAAAAUAAUAAUUAAAACAACUCUGUUAGAAGUGAAGUGAACUUUAAUUAUUAAGCAAUUUUAGUCAUGUUAUAUCGUCUCUACGCGUGCAAAUUCAUAUUAUAAUUGUAUAACUCGUAAAGGUAUUUUAAGAACCCGUGGCAACACACGAACGUUCUCCUAGUAGAAGUAAUUGUCUUUGCGUCUUAAAUCUUAUGUAUUACUCCCUCCGUUCGUAAAUAUAAGUUUUUUUAAAAAUUUCACUAAUGGACUACAUACAUAUGUAUAUAUACAUAUUUUAGAAUAUAGAUUCAUUCGUUUUGUUUCGUAUGUAGACCACUAAUGAAAUCUGUUAAAAGACUUAUAUUUAGGAACGAGGGAGUAUAAAAAAAUGCACGCUUAAACCUUGACCGAGGGAGUAACGAAGACUCGAUAAAUGCGAAACUAGCUGGGAUAAAUUAGUACGUACGCUCAAUCAUCAGCGUGUUUGAUCAGUCAAACCUAUCAAAAAUGGACGGCACUCAAACUAGUAGCUGGAGCAUUGUUAAUCAAACUGCUUUGUAAGCACUCGUACUGACGAGUGCAUGCAUGGCCACCACCGAGUUGGACCAGGGGCUUUUAAAGGCUACCAGCCGCAAUGAUCAAUCAGAUAAAUGCGCCAUGAUCAGUCCCCCGAGUACAGCAAAUCAUGCAACACCAAUUCAAUCAUCCAGCACACCAGUAGUACUAGUACGUGAUCCGUAGCAUGCAUGGCUCACUCGCCUCAUACAUACAGUCACAUGACCAUAAUUCUCGCUGGUACUAUUUCCCGGUGAUUGAAUCCAAACACAUGAGCCACAGCAAGCUUGGCCGGUAGCCAUCAGAUUCAGAGGUGGUGAGGAGAGCAAAGCAUGCAGCAGCAGCAGCAGCACAGCAGAGGCCAUGAUACUAACCAACUACACGUACACUACGUACGAGACGCGCGCAGAGGAAAAACUAAACCUGGGUCAACUUCGGCGAACGGCGAGGCGGAGGAGAAGACAAAAGUAUAUUCAUGCGUGACGACACCGACACCGGCCGGGGGCAGCCUUGUGAUCACGGCGAGAGGAGGGGAGGCGAGUGAGCGCAUCAUGACAUGGGACUGAACUGGACGGUGAAAAGGGCCGAGAGAUCGGGUAAAUAAUAUUAAUAAAGCUUGUGCGCGCAGAGUCACUGACACGGGGAGGUGUGGCGGGGCCGGCCGCCCAUGCCUCCCUCUGCGCCGUGUAAUUCAGAGUGGGGUUGCCUGCUUGGUCGUGGUCUUGGUCUUGGUCUUGGUGGACGGAUAGAGGGAUCCCGUCCAGUCCAGUCGAGGCCAGUCCAAGUCCGGCAUCGGGACCUCUGUUUGACCACCACCACCACCACUGUGAUGCCGAGAAUAACACAGCAAAAGUUUGGGGCAUUGGAGUUUGGGGCGUUAAAAGCGCACGCAUCUCGAGAAAUGCUAGAUUUUCAAAAGAUUACUCUGUAUGCUUAAUCCGUGUCAGUGAGAGAUAAUCAGAUGGUGAUUUUCCUACUCCGCGCCAGUGAGAGAGAUGCCACUGGCCAGAUAACUUUGUGCAAUGGGAGAGGGGUUAUGUUUAAUCCGGGCGUGCAAAAGAGGCUGGGCACUUUCCGUGUAAAUAAAAAAUAAAAAGAAGAACAGCCGUCUGAGGUUGUUGGUAACAAGUACUCCUACAGGUGCAGCAAACGGCUCUCUGUUCGUGCUAGCAGUAAUUGUAGCACAGUAACAGCCCAGCUCUGUGGUUUCACUGCGUCGAUGAGACCUUUCGUUGAAGUGGAAACACACGUAAAUUUUCUUUGGGGGGGUUUGGAAAGGGAGUUGUCACGGCCAGAGAAGAGAAGCUGCGCUGUGGAGUCCUGCGCAAGUAGAGAAGAAGAACUAAAAAAGGGCAAGACAUCACGGCGUGCCUGUUAGAUCUCUGCUUACAGUAGCCAAGUCCCCACUGAGAGCGUAGCGUAGCGUAGUGUGUUCUCUUCUCCCAUCACAUCACGCCCAUCUCCUUCCCUCCCCAUCCCCUUCUUCCUCCCUCAGCCCCCCCUCCCCCACUCACUCUCACUCUCACUCUCAGCAGCCGCCGCCCGAACAGGGAUAGACAAGGAAGCACACAUCCAGCGGACCAGCACGGGGCAAUGGAGUACGAGAGGAUUCACAAGGUCCAGGUACGGGCUCCAUCUCCUGAGGCCAGCACAGUGGCUCGCUUGAUCCCACCCACCGAAUUAGGGCCUGCUCUGUUCAUACCCGUUGUUGCCGUUCCUGAUGCUUCAUUUUUCCAGUACAUUUUUUCCUUCCUUUUUUUUCCGAAGAUAUAUAUUUCGUUUUCUGGAUAUAGAUGUGCUUUCUCUGCUCCUCAUUUCCAAGUCUACCAUGUUUUGUUGCGUUUUUAUAGCAGCUUCCAUUCUCCUAUAGGCAGAUCAAAGCCAGUCUCCCUAUUUUGCAAUGAGAAGAUUAUAAAGUUAGUCUCGCUGUCAGACGUCGGAGCCGAGCAAUUUGGGAGCCUUUCUUUUUUAAGAAUCUAGAGUUGGUUAGCGGUUUGUUUAUAAACUGUAGCUCUCUUCAGUUAUCACUUGUUGGGCAAAUCUGUUUUGUCAGUCAGAGUGAAGCUAACUAGUUCAAGUAAAGCGUACUGCUAAAUAUGCAGAAAAACUGUCGUCCCUUCUGCAUAGGCAGUGGAAAUCUAGAAAGAACGCCCAUUUUUCCGAAGAAUUUGGCGUCGGCACUGUUUUAGUACUACUACGUGCUAAAGUGAUGCUGAUUUCACUACCCCCGUGUCCCAGUCAGGAAAUACAAGUGUCAAAUGGUCAAUCCACUGUCACUGUCACAAAUGUCUAAAAAUUUGCAUGACACCAGCACUUCUAAUUUCUUGGAAGUUUACAGAGCUAUAAGCUUCCUACGGUCCUACCUAGAAAUAUUUUGAACAAGAUAUAAUAGAGGUUACCACCUUGAAUCAAGACACUUUAUUAAGUUAUAAUGCUUCCGUAGAUGAAGACUUACCUCUUUGUUCUUCAUGUAGGCAGGCGCCCUUUCUCCCACAAAGCUGAG